rnacentral:misc_RNA from 1 species
GAUGAAGAACGUAGCGAAAUGCGAUAAGUAAUGUGAAUUGCAGAAUUCAGUGAAUCAUCGAAUGUUUGAACGCACAUUGCGCCCGCCAGUAUUCUGGCGGGCAUGCCUGUUCGAGCGUCAUUUCAACCAUCAAGCCCCAGGCUUGUGUUGGGGACCUGCGGCUGCCGCAGGCCCUGAAAACCAGUGGCGGGCUCGCUGUCACACCGGGCGUAGUAGAUUUUAUCUCGCUCAGGGCGUGCUGCGGGUUCCGGCCGUUAAAAAGCCUUUUUUACCCAAGGUUGACCUCGGAUCAGGUAGGAAUACCCGCUGAACUUAAGCAUAUCAAUAAGCGGAGGA